CUUGUGUUAAGCAUUACUUAAUCUUUAUGUGCUCCCUGCCCCAAUCUACCAGCCAGUGAAUGACAACUGACUGAGCAUAAAUACUAGGACUGCAGAACGGUUAUAAAGCAUUUGUCCAAGGAAAAGCCCUUUUACUUUAUUUGUUUUCACAGUGGAAAUUGCUGUUUUUGAUCCGAAGUUUUCUGAAACGCAGCAGUGAGUUCCUGGAGGGUGAGUUAGCUGCUUUAGACCUGGAGGCUGAGGCCAAGGCUUGUGUGGUCAAUCUGCUGCCACCAUGUGGUGAGGGAGCCUGGGAGAGUGUUAGUCUUUCUUGGCUUCACUUUCCUCCUCAGUGAGUUAGGGGCUUAUUGUUCCUCUCUGAGGUACCUUCCUACUUUGUUUUCUCUGAGUCUCUGAGGAACUGAGAUGGUUUUUAAUGCCACCCAGGACCUGCAGCUGAGACCUGACUCUGUGUGUCUCCUGCAGGAGCCUGAGCUGAGUCCCCACACUGGAAGCCCAGAACUGAGGGAACAGAUGAAAGAAAGAAAGUCAGCAGGUUUAGGGGAUGAGAACAACCCACAAAGGACAAGCCAUUGGAGUCUCCUGCCCCUGGCCAGGGAGAGCCACAGGGUGGAUCAGAGCUGGUUUAUAGUGAGGGGGCAGCAGCAACUCCAAGGGGGGAAGAUGCGACCAUGAGCCCCGCCCCAGACCCAGGAGCCUUGACCUUGGGGCUGCCAUAGCAGUGGAUGCUCUUCAGAGAGGGAUCCUGGGGCAUGAAUGGUGUAAGGCAAGGGCCAGUCUAAGGAAAGGGAUUUGCUGCAUCCUGGGAGAAAUCUCCGCACCCCCGAAAGGACAUUUGGGACAGGAAUACAGGUGAGAGGAGGUUUGCAAUUGCUUUUAUUCAAUAAUUGAUGAACACUCUCCUGAGAACUCCCUCAGUGCUAGACCCUGAGCUGGGAACCAUGAACACAGAGAUUAGUAAGAUAUGAUCUCAGCUUUCACAGAACUCUCAGUCUAGUGACCAGCGAUUCCUGAGAAGUAUGGUGAUGGUGGGUUCAUUGGAACCAGUGGUCUAUGCUGCAUGGAGAUUACCUCAGUGGAUGGCCUGGUCUCUCUUCUGUUUUUUUUCAAACAGCUGAAUGACCUGUCCUGGGCCAGUGACCCUGGACUUCAACCAGAUGUCAGAAUCUCAAGGUACAACCAACAUUUUCACUCCAUGUUGGGUCAAAACAGUUAACACAGCCAAGAUAUUCAAGGUUUCAGUAGAUACUGACUAAGUCCUGGCCAGCUGUGAAAAGAAAGAGGCUGGAGAGCAAUGGCAUGAUCUCAGCUCACUGCAACCUCUGCCUCCGGGUUCAAGUGAUUCUUCUGCCUCAACCUCCUGAGUGGCUGGGAUUACAAGCGUAUGCCACCAUGCCCGGCUAAUUUUCUAUAUUUUCAGUAGAGAUGGACUUUCACCAUGUUAGCCAGGCUGGUUUCAAACUCUUGACCUCAGGUGAUCCACCCACC